rnacentral:rRNA from 1 species
GUACUACUCUCAGAGUUUGAUCCUGGCUCAGAACGAACGCUGGCGGCGCGUCUUAAGCAUGCAAGUCGAACGGCAAGAUUUUGUAGCUUGCUACAGAAUCCUAGAAUGGCGGACUGGUGAGUAACACGUGGGUGACGUACCUUUCAGAUGGGGAUAGCUACUAGAAAUAGUAGAUAAUACCGAAUACGACCACAGGGGUUAGAGACCUGUGAGGAAAGGAGCUAAGGCUCCGCUGAAAGAUUGGCCCGCGGCCCAUUAGCUAGUUGGUAGGGUAAAGGCCUACCAAGGCAAUGAUGGGUAUCCGGCCUGAGAGGGUGAUCGGACACAUUGGGACUGAGAUACGGCCCAG